AAAGAGAGCUGUCCGUCGACAGUCCAGAAAGCAUUUAAUAUCACUGUCAUGGAAUUGCUCUCUUUGU
rnacentral:pre_miRNA from 1 species